rnacentral:rRNA from 1 species
AUUGAACGCUGGCGGCAGGCUUAACACAUGCAAGUCGAGCGGAGAUGAGGUGCUUGCACCUUAUCUUAGCGGCGGACGGGUGAGUAAUGCUUAGGAAUCUGCCUAUUAGUGGGGGACAACAUUCCGAAAGGAAUGCUAAUACCGCAUACGCCCUACGGGGGAAAGCAGGGGAUCUUCGGACCUUGCGCUAAUAGAUGAGCCUAAGUCGGAUUAGCUAGUUGGUGGGGUAAAGGCCUACCAAGGCGACGAUCUGUAGCGGGUCUGAGAGGAUGAUCCGCCACACUGGGACUGAGACACGGCCCAGACUCCUACGGGAGGCAGCAGUGGGGAAUAUUGGACAAUGGGCGGAAGCCUGAUCCAGCCAUGCCGCGUGUGUGAAGAAGGCCUUUUGGUUGUAAAGCACUUUAAGCGAGGAGGAGGCUACCUCGAUUAAUACUCUAGGAUAGUGGACGCUACUCGCAGAAUAAGCACCGGCUAACUCUGUGCCAGCAGCCGCGGUAA